rnacentral:rRNA from 1 species
GUCCACGCCGUAAACGAUGGGUGCUAGGUGUCAGGGGCUUUGACCCCUCUGGUGCCGUAGCUAACGCAUUAAGCACCCCGCCUGGGGAGUACGGCCGCAAGGCUAAAACUCAAAGGAAUUGACGGGGGCCCGCACAAGCGGUGGAGCAUGUGGUUCAAUUCGACGCAACGCGCAGAACCUUACCUGGGCUAGAAAAUGCAGGGACCUGGUUGAAAAAUCGGGGUGCCUUUCGGGGAACCUGUAGUUAGGUGCUGCAUGGCUGUCGU